GUGGAUUUUUAGCCCUGGUGGGUAGCUUCCCGGAAACGAAAGUCUUCCGGUUCCGGGGGAAGUAUGGUUGCAAAGCUGAAACUUAAAGGAAUUGACGGAAGGGCACCACCAGGAGUGGAGCCUGCGGCUUAAUUUGACUCAACACGGGGAAACUCACCCGGCCCGGACACCGUAAGGAUUGACAGAUUGAUAGCUCUUUCAUGAUUCGGUGGUUGGUGGUGCAUGGCCGUUCUUAGUUCGUGGAUCGAUUUGUCUGGUUUAUUCCGAUAACGAGCGAGACUCUAGCCUACUAAAUAGUAACGAGAUUAUCAAUGUCUCAGUUGCUUCUUAGAGGGAUUUUCGGUGUUUAGCCGCACGAGAUUGAGCAAUAACAGGUCUGUGAUGCCCUUAGAUGUCCGGGGCUGCACGCGCGCUACACUGGCGAAAUCAGCGUGCUGUAUCCAUUCUCGAAAGGGAUUGGUAAACCCAUGAAAAUUUGCCGUGCUUGGGAUCGGAAAUUGCAAUUAUUUUCCGUGAACGAGGAAUUCCAAGUAAGUGCGAGUCAUCAA
rnacentral:rRNA from 1 species